UGGUGAAGGAGCUGCGGGCGGGGGCCGGGACCCCCGAGAGGAGGCGGUUCCUGGCUGAGGCUGAGCCCUACAGGACCCUUCGCCACCCGAAUUUGCUGCGGUGCCUCGGGGGGUGCCGGGAGCGGCCGCUGCUGCUCGUCAUGGAAUAUUGCCAGAUGGGGGACCUGAAGCGUUACCUGCGGGCGCAGCGGGGG